GUUACUGUUAAAGCUAAAUUUACCACAGAAAGGUAAUGUUAAAGCUAAAUUUACCACAGAAAGUUACUGUUAAAGCAAAAUUUAAUAUAAUGACGCACUUGUCUGACCAUAUAUAAAGCCAUAAUACCAAUUUUGAUGACACAUAAUUAUUUGAAAAAUACUUGGUUUGGAAUACUUGGUUUUCAUGCACCAUGCAAUAUUGUGUAAUAUUUUAAAUGCUAAUAUUUUCCUUUGAUAAUACCUGGAUUAUCCCAUGAUUUAAGCACAAGCUAUCUCACAAAUUUCAUGUUCAUGUAAAUUUGGUAUAAAUAUAGUGCUGUGCAAUACAUCUAUGACCCUGUUUGUGCAAAUGAAUGGGGACUGUUUUGCUUAUUAAUGUUUACCAGUGUUUCUCAGUUUUUAUUUCUCUGGAGCUAGAAAUGCUGGCCGGCCAUAUUUGACACCUAAAAAGGCCUCAAGACUCAAAAUUUUAAAGCUAUCAAGAUUUGGAAAUAGUCAUUUUCUUUUGGCCCGUUGGCCCUGUUGAGUUAACUAUAUUUAAUGGCCCAUUUUUUUUUUACAAAUACUGACUUAAUGUUCCUUUAGUGCUAAAGCUGUGGGCUUUGAACGAAAAAUGGGCAGGAUGAAGCAGUUGUGGGACCAUAUAAGCUGUUUUACAAUUUUCUUUGCAUGCUGAAAGGGUCUGAGUGGCUGUCAGAUGAAGUAAGUGAGACUAAAAUGAGCUUACUUGUGGUUUAAAGUACAAAUCGGUUGUUUAAUUCUCUUCACAGGUCAUUGAUGUAUACCUACACCAUCCAGUUCAAAAGCAAAAUGUGUGCAAAGUGUCAGUGUACUUUUAAAAGGAUCCUGUAAUUUUUUCAGAAUUCUUACUGCUUUGUUUAUAUUUAACAGAAAGGGUCAACUUCCCUGGGUCAACUUCUUUAUUUUAUGGCCUUUUUGGAUGUAUGUUAAAGGUAUUUAAGUAAUCCAAAGGUUGAUGGUAAUUACAUAACCAUAACAUAAUACAUAACAUGCAACUACAUGAUGCAAGUCAAAUUAUCAUCCCACAGAUGAAAUUUCCUUUAGAGGAUAUUUGAUGGUGUCCCCUUUUUGAAAGAUCGUCUGCAUGACCAGGUAGAGCAUUUUAAUUGUAAAUCCAUUGGGAAAGGAAACAUAGUACAGUAUGAACAUAAAGUUCUGCUAAACUGGAGAAACUUUCUGAAGCUGCGAGUUGGUGAUAAGCACAGUGCAGCAUGGCAAGUGCAAAGCCUCCCAGAUGAAAAUCAACACUCGAGCAGCUGCAUUCUAAUUUGAAGAACUGUAUCUUUUAAAAAGCAGUGUUUAAGAUGUGAAGACAAGUGAAAGUGCUAUAGCUUUGGCUAGAAUGGAGAUUGUAUGUGCACUGCUAAAAUAUUGAGGAAAUGCAGAGGACUACAAUGUGGUGUGUUUCAUGUUGGAAGGUAAUGCUGAAAAAAACAUAAUUGAAAUGGUGCAAUGUGACCUCUGUUGAAGGUUGGAACAUUCUGAAUGUGCUGAAUACACAAUAGAUGUUUGGGAUGCUCUGGAUCGGCGUAUACCACAGUGAACAGUGUUCCUGCCAAUGUCCAGCAACUUCACACCACCAUUGAAGAGGAGUGGACCAGCAUUCCACAGGCCACAAUCAACAACCUGAUCAACUAUGUGAAAGAGAUGUGUUGGCCUGCGUGAGGCAAACGGUGCUCACACCAGAUACUGAGUGGUUUUAUGACCCCAAUACAGUAAAACUGCACAUUUUAUUGUAUAAUAUUUAAAUAUAUAGCACUUUCACUUGUCUUCACAUCUUGAACACUGCCCUUAAAAAGAGCAAACAGCAAAAUUUAUGUUUUAGUACAAAUAUACAGUAUAUAUUUUUACUGAUUUAUUUUGAGCAGUCAAUCCAUCAAUGAUAUACAAACAAACCAGCACCACAUCUUGUAACAGAGUGUGAGAAAGUGUGUGUGUGUGUGUGUGUGUGUGUGUGUGUGUGUGUGUGUGUGUGUGUGUGUGUGUGU